rnacentral:rRNA from 1 species
CCGGUUGAUCCUGGCGGACCUGACUGCUAUCGGAUUGAUACUAAGCCAUGCGAGUCAUUGUAGCAAUACAAGGCAUACGGCUCAGUAACGCGUAGUCAACCUAACCUAUGGACGGGAAUAACCUCGGGAAACUGAGAAUAAUGCCCGACAGAACAUUAUGCCUGGAAUGGUUUAUGUUCCAAAUGAUUUAUCGCCGUAGGAUGGGACUGCGGCCUAUCAGUUUGUUGGUGAGGUAAUGGCCCACCAAGACUAUUACAGGUACGGGCUCUGAGAGGAGUAGCCCGGAGAUGGGUACUGAGACACGGACCCAGGCCCUAUGGGGCGCAGCAGGCGAGAAAACUUUGCAAUGUGCGAAAGCACGACAAGGUUAAUCCGAGUGGUUUCUGCUAAGGAAACCUUUUGUCAGUCCUAGAAACACUGAUGAAUAAGGGGUGGGCAAGUUCUGGUGUCAGCCGCCGCGGUAAAACCAGCACCUCAAGUGGUCAGGAUGAUUAUUGGGCCUAAAGCAUCCGUAGCCGGCUCUGUAAGUUUUCGGUUAAAUCUGUACGCUCAACGUACAGGCUGCCGGGAAUACUGCAGAGCUAGGGAGUGGGAGAGGUAGACGGUACUCGGUAGGAAGGGG